rnacentral:ncRNA from 1 species
AGAGUUUGAUCCUGGCUCAGAAGGAACGCCAGCCAUAUGCUUAACACAUGCAAGUCGAACGUUGUUCCGGGAGCUAGGCAGAAGGAAAAGAGGUUCCUAGCUCAAGGUAGUUGUCUCGCCCAGGAGGCGGAAGAGCUGAGAACAAAGUGGCUAACGAACGUAAGUGCGCGGGAAUCUGCCGAACAGUUCGGCCAACUUGAAGAAAGCUAAAAGCGCUGUUUGAUGAGCCCGGUGUAGUAUUAGGGUAGUUGGUUAGUGUAAAGGCUGACCGCCAAUGAUGCUUAGCUGGUCUUUUCGAUGAUCAGCCACACUGACUGGAGACACGCCCGACUUACGGGGCAGUGGGGAAUCUGGACAAUGGGCGAAAGCCCAUCCAGCAAUAUCGCGAGUGAAGAAAGGCAAUGCCGCCAGGGCUCUUCGCCGAGUGCGUGAUCAUGACAGACUCGAGGAAGAAGCCCCGGCUAACUCGCGUCAGCAGCCGCUAAACGGGGGCAAGUGUUCUUCGGAAAUGACCGCGAAGGGUAUCGUAGGCGGUGAAUCGGGUUGAAAGUGAAAGUCGCCAAAAGUGGCGGAAUGCUUUCAAACCAAUCACUUGAGGAGACAGAGGAGGAGUGAAUUUCGUGAGGUGAAAUUACAGAUCUACGAAGGAACGCCAAAAGCGAAGGCAGCUCGGGUCCCCACCGACGCUGGGGUGCGAAAGCAUGGGAGCGAACGGAUUAGAUACCCUGGUAGUCCAUGUCAGAACGAUGAGUGUUCGCCCUUGGUCUACGAGAUCGUGGGUCUCAGCUAACGCGCGUGAACACCUGCUGGGGAGUACGGUCGCAAGACCGAAACUCAGCGAAUUGACGGGGCCUGCACAAGUGGUGGAGCAUGCGGUUUAAUUCGACAACGCGCAAAACUUACCAGCCCUUGACAUGAACAACAAAAACCUAUCCUGAACGGAUGGUACCACUUUCAUACAGGUGCUGCAUGGCUGUCGCCAGCUCGUCGCGGAGAUGUUUGGUCAAGUCCUAUAACGAGCGAAAACCCUCGCCUUGUGUUGCCUCGACAUGCGCCUAAGGAGAAAGGCUUGAAACCGGCGAGCCAUGGUUCGAGGACGCGGCCAGACCUAGUAAUUGAGUGACAGCAACUAGCUCUGCUCGAAGAAGGAGACGCGCCUUCCAAGCCCUUUCUAGUCUGCGCUGAGUUUGAUUGCAGCUGGAAGCGCCGCGCUUUACUAAGAAGUGCGAAAGGCUUUUCGCUUGUUUAGUAAAGUCGCUUUUGACCCAGGUGACGACGACGCUGAAGUUGGCGGCGGAGAAAGACUCGCAUUCAGGCGAAGCCCGGUGGUGGGACGGCGGCGGGUUAGUACGCCCUGCCAAAACGGUUCGAAACAACAAAAGAAAGCGGCCGCACUACACGAGGGACCGCCAGUGAUAUACCGGAGGAAGGUGGGAUGACGUCAAGUCCGCAUGGCCCUUGCGGGCUGGGCCACACGCGCUACAAUGGCACCAAUAAUGGGAAGCAAGGUCAGAAGGCGGAGCUAAUCCGAAAGAUUGCCCAGUUCCGAUUGUUCUCCGCAACUCGGAACAUGAAGUUGGAAUCGCUAGUAAUCGCGGAUCAGCAUGCCGCGGUGAAUAUGUACCGGCCCUGUACACACCGCCCGUCACACCCUGGGAAUUGGUUUCGCCUGAAGCAUCGGACCAAUGAUCACCAUGACUUGUGUUACCACUAGUGCCACAAAGGCUUUGGUGGUCUUAUUGGCGCAUACCACGGUGGGGUCUUCGACUGGGUGAAGUCGAACAAGGUAGCCGUAGGGAACCUGUGGCUG